GAUGAAGAACGUAGCGAAAUGCGAUAAGUAAUGUGAAUUGCAGAAUUCAGUGAAUCAUCGAAUCUUUGAACGCACAUUGCGCCCGCCAGUAUUCUGGCGGGCAUGCCUGUUCGAGCGUCAUUUCAACCAUCAAGCCCCCGGCUUGUGUUGGGGAUCUGCGGCUGCCGCAGGCCCUGAAAACCAGUGGCGGGCUCGCUGUCACACCGAGCGUAGUAGAUUUUCAUCUCGCUCAGGGCGUGCUGCGGGUUCCGGCCGUAAAAAGCCUUAUUUACCCAAGGUUGACCUCGGAUCAGGUAGGAAGACCCGCUGAACUUAAGCAUAUCAAUAAGCGGAGGA
rnacentral:misc_RNA from 1 species